rnacentral:rRNA from 1 species
ACAAGCGGUGGAGCAUGUGGUUAAUUCGAUGCAACGCGAAGAACCUUACCUGGCCUUGACAUGCUGAGAACUUUCCAGAGAUGGAUUGGUGCCUUUCGGGAACUCAGACACAGGUGCUGCACGGCUGUCGUCAGCUCGUGUCGUGAGGUGUUGGGUUAAGUCCCGUAACGAGCGCAACCCUUGUCCUUAGUUACCAGCACGUAAUGGUGGGGAACUCUAAGGAGACUGCCGGUGACAAACCGGAGGAAGGUGGGGAUGACGUCAAGUCAUCAUGGCCCUUACGGCCAGGGCUACACACGUGCUACAAUGGUCGGUACAAAGGGUUGCCAAGCCGCGAGGUGGAGCUAAUCCCAUAAAACCGAUCGUAGUCCGGAUCGCAGUCUGCAACUCGACUGCGUGAAGUCGGAAUCGCUAGUAAUCGCAGGUCAGCAUACUGCGGUGAAUACGUUCCCGGGCCUU